rnacentral:rRNA from 1 species
CACGUAGGGCGCGAGCGUUGUCCGGAAUUAUUGGGCGUAAAGAGCUCGUAGGCGGCCUGUUGCGUCCGCUGUGAAAGCCCGGGGCUUAACCCCGGGUCGGCAGUGGAUACGGGCAGGCUAGAGGUAGGUAGGGGAGAAUGGAAUUCCUGGUGUAGCGGUGAAAUGCGCAGAUAUCAGGAGGAACACCAAUGGCGAAGGCAGCUCGCUGGGACGGUACUGACGCUGAGACGCGAAAGCGUGGGGAGCAAACAGG